rnacentral:rRNA from 1 species
GACGAACGCUGGCGGCGUGCUUAACACAUGCCAGUCGAACGGAAAGGCCCUGCUUUUGUGGGGUGCUCGAGUGGCGAACGGGUGAGUAACACGUGAGUAACCUGCCCUUGACUUUGGGAUAACUUCAGGAAACUGGGGCUAAUACCGGAUAGGAGCUCCUGCUGCAUGGUGGGGGUUGGAAAGUCUCGGCGGUCGGGGAUGGACUCGCGGCUUAUCAGCUUGUUGGUGGGGUAGUGGCUUACCAAGGCUUUGACGGGUAGCCGGCCUGGGAGGGUGACCGGCGACAAGGGUACUGAGGGACGCACCAGAGUCGUACGGUAGGCAGCAGGGGGAAAUAUGGCACAAUGAGCGCAAGCCUGAUGAAGCAACGCCGGGUGCGUGAUGACGUUCUGUGGGUUGAAAACCGCUUUAGCCUGUGACGAAGCGGGAGUGACGGUAAUGGGUAAAGAAGCACCGGCUAACUACGUG